GUUGUGGCGGAGUGGUUAUCGCGCAAGACUAGAAAUCUUGUUCCUUCGGGAGCGUAGGUUCGAAUCCUGCCAAC
rnacentral:tRNA from 1 species